CGUGCUUAACACAUGCAAGUCGAACGGUGACCCAGGGCUUGCCCUGGUGAUCAGUGGCGAACGGGUGAGUAACACGUGGGCAACCUGCCCCUGACUUCGGGAUAACUCCUCGAAAGAGGAGCUAAUACCGGAUACGACCACUUCGGACAUCCGAUGGUGGUGGAAAGUUUUUCGGUCAGGGAUGGGCCCGCGGCCUAUCAGCUAGUUGGUGGGGUAAUGGCCUACCAAGGCGACGACGGGUAGCCGGCCUGAGAGGGCGACCGGCCACACUGGGACUGAGACACGGCCCAGACUCCUACGGGAGGCAGCAGUGGGGAAUAUUGCGCAAUGGGCGAAAGCCUGACGCAGCGACGCCGCGUGAGGGAUGAAGGCCUUCGGGUUGUAAACCUCUUUCAGCAGGGACGAAGCGAAAGUGACGGUACCUGCAGAAGAAGCACCGGCUAACUACGUG
rnacentral:rRNA from 1 species